rnacentral:rRNA from 1 species
UGGGGAAUAUUGGACAAUGGGGGCAACCCUGAUCCAGCAAUGCCGCGUGAGUGAUGAAGGCCUUCGGGUUGUAAAGCUCUUUUGUUAGGGACGAUGAUGACGGUACCUAACGAAUAAGCUCCGGCUAACUUCGUGCCAGCAGCCGCGGUAAUACGAAGGGAGCUAGCGUUGUUCGGAAUUACUGGGCGUAAAGGGCGCGUAGGCGGCUUGAUAAGUUUGAUGUGAAAGCCCUGGGCUUAACCUAGGAAUAGCAUUGAAUACUGUCAGGCUAGAGGCCGAGAGAGGGAAAUGGAAUUGCGAGUGUAGAGGUGAAAUUCGUAGAUAUUCGCAAGAACACCAGUGGCGAAGGCGAUUUCCUGGCUCGGUACUGACGCUAAGGCGCGAAAGCGUGGGGAGCAAACAG